UGCGCGGGGCUCCAGUUUCCAGUCCCGCCCACGCGCCUUUGCAGGCUGCGGUGGGGUUUCGUUUUGCCUCCGGUUGGGACUGCUGUUUCUCUUCGCCGACGAGACGGGGUUUCACCAUGUUGGUCAGGCUGGUCUCCAAUUCUGACCUCGUGAUCCGCCUGCCUCGGCCUCCCAAACAGCUGUGAUUAUAGGCAUGAGCCACCGCGCCCGGCCAACCAUCAUUAUUAUUUUUACCGUGGAUCCUCUACCCUUCAGAGACUCUGGAACCCCUGUGGUCUUCUCCUCAUCUAAUGACCCUGAGGUGAUGGAGUUUUCAAGUCCUUCCAGAGAGGAAUGUCCCAAGCCUUCGGGUAGGGUAAACAUCAUGGCUGGCAGCCUCACAGGAUUGCUUCUACUUCAGGCAGUGUCGUGGGCAUCAGCCGCUAUGAGAGUACACGCAGUGGGCGACGGAUGGAGCUGAGUACGGGGACCAUCCAGGCUAAUCACACGGGCACAGGCCUGCUACUGACCCUGCAGCCAGAACAGAAGUUCCAGAAAGUGAAGGGAUUUGGAGGGGCCAUGACAGACGCUGCUGCUCUCAACAUCCUUGCCCUGUCACCCCCUGCCCAAAAUUUGCUACUUAAA
rnacentral:sRNA from 1 species